CGGCGGACGGGUGAGUAAUGCUUAGGAAUCUGCCAUUUAGUGGGGGACAACAUUCCGAAAGGAAUGCUAAUACCGCAUACGUCCUACGGGAGAAAGCAGGGGAUCUUCGGACCUUGCGCUAAAUGAUGAGCCUAAGUCGGAUUAGCUAGUUGGUGGGGUAAAGGCCUACCAAGGCGACGAUCUGUAGCGGGUCUGAGAGGAUGAUCCGCCACACUGGGACUGAGACACGGCCCAGACUCCUACGGGAGGCAGCAGUGGGGAAUAUUGGACAAUGGGCGGAAGCCUGAUCCAGCCAUGCCGCGUGUGUGAAGAAGGCCUUUUGGUUGUAAAGCACUUUAAGCGAGGAGGAGGCUACUAGUACUAAUACUACUGGAUAGUGGACGUUACUCGCAGAAUAAGCACCGGCUAACUCUGUGCCAGCAGCCGCGGUAAUACAGAGGGUGCGAGCGUUAAUCGGAUUUACUGGGCGUAAAGCGUGCGUAGGCGGCUUUUUAAGUCGGAUGUGAAAUCCCUGAGCUUAACUUAGGAAUUGCAUUCGAUACUGGGAAGCUAGAGUAUGGGAGAGGAUGGUAGAAUUCCAGGUGUAGCGGUGAAAUGCGUAGAGAUCUGGAGGAAUACCGAUGGCGAAGGCAGCCAUCUGGCCUAAUACUGACGCUGAGGUACGAAAGCAUGGGGAGCAAACAGGAUUAGAUACCCUGGUAGUCCAUGCCGUAAACGAUGUCUACUAGCCGUUGGGGCCUUUGAGGCUUUAGUGGCGCAGCUAACGCGAUAAGUAGACCGCCUGGGGAGUACGGUCGCAAGACUAAAACUCAAAUGAAUUGACGGGGGCCCGCACAAGCGGUGGAGCAUGUGGUUUAAUUCGAUGCAACGCGAAGAACCUUACCUGGUCUUGACAUAGUAAGAACUUUCCAGAGAUGGAUUGGUGCCUUCGGGAACUUACAUACAGGUGCUGCAUGGCUGUCGUCAGCUCGUGUCGUGAGAUGUUGGGUUAAGUCCCGCAACGAGCGCAACCCUUUUCCUUAUUUGCCAGCGGGUUAAGCCGGGAACUUUAAGGAUACUGCCAGUGACAAACUGGAGGAAGGCGGGGACGACGUCAAGUCAUCAUGGCCCUUACGACCAGGGCUACACACGUGCUACAAUGGUCGGUACAAAGGGUUGCUACCUAGCGAUAGGAUGCUAAUCUCAAAAAGCCGAUCGUAGUCCGGAUUGGAGUCUGCAACUCGACUCCAUGA
rnacentral:rRNA from 1 species